ACUGCAGCGGAGGGAGUGGGAAAGUCUGCACAGAGACCCUGGGGGUCCUUUUGGAACUAAAGGAUCUAGAUUCCAGAGCCUUCUUUCUCAUCUAAGAGUCAGAGUUAUGGGUACCCUUUAGGUGAGUCUGGGAGGCUCUGCCCAGAACCCAGUGACAGGAAAGGGAACGAAGCCCCUGAAACAACAUCUCCAUGGAGCUGAAGGGGGAGAGGCCAGUGCAGCACCCGUCACCCAGCCCCUACCCUGCACCCACCAUGGUUUGAUGCAUCCUGGCCAGACCCCGGGGCUAUGUGGGAGCUCCCUUGGAUGAGGGAGCAACUGACAGGAGGAAUCAACUUCCCUUGAACUUGAAGAACCCCACAGUUGGUCAGGGGUCUGCCCUCACCCUGUGGUCAGGCCAACCACACUACUUCAGACAAUGGCCUCUGGGCGCCUCCAGCUCUCAGAGCAGCAGCCCCAGCACAGGCAAUCAUUCCAGUGACGGUUGUACUGUGCUCCAGCUCCCAGUGGUCUGUGUCCUGACUCUAGCAACAAAGCAGAAGCAGACAGGACUUAGUCUCUGUCUUCCUGUACACAUCAAGGGAGGGAAGCCGAAGGGCUUGGCUUCUAACUAUUUGGGCGACAAUGGGCCUGCAAAAGAGGCUUUACUUAUACCCCAGAUUCAUACACAGCUCAGUCAAUGCUCACACCAACUCCAUGGAAUAUGUAGUGCCAUUAUCAGCAUUGCAUUGGUAAGAAAACUGUGACCCAGAAAGGCCAAGCAGCCUGUCCUGGCUCACACAGCUGGUAAGCACAUCCUGACACCCAAGCUGCACUCUUCCACUACUCCUCCGUCACCACUAACGUGGGCCCACCAUCUAGCAACUCAAAAGGAACCAAGAAUGGAAAGCUUUUGACCUGAAUGUCUAAAUCAAUGGACUCGGCCCUGGGUGGAGAGAGCCAAUCCACACCUGGACAAACUACACAAGUUGGCAGGGAGGCAGGAGCUGACACUGCUGACAGUGGACUUCAGCAUCUGCAGACCCCAAGUCUUCACGAACCCCACCACCUGCCAUAGCACCCAAGAUGUGCAUCAGUCAACCUUUGACACUAGCACUCCCAUGGAUGAGUGACUAGGCAAAGACGCACCCACUGACAUAGCAGGGCAGAUGAAUUUGUGUACUGGAUUAUUGACCACAGAUCAAAACCUGAAGGUGAUGGGAAAGAAGAACAGUUGCUUGAAGUGAUAAAGGGAAGGUCAAAACCUAACGAGUUCAUGCUUAGGCAAGCGAGCUGCCCAAGAUGAUCAGGCACCAGAGGGCAGCUGGGGUCUGAGCAUGAAUGCUGCAAGAUUUGAUCCUGUCUGUUCCGGAAGUCAGAUGACCAGACCAUGGGUCACCAUGACUUGACUUGUGCCCUGCACCACUGUCAGAGCCUUCUGGAUCACUCAGUAAAUGAAACAACUAGUCAUUUCCAUCUGACAAUCAGCAGGACUCUGUUCUAUUUCCCCCACACUGAAAUGAUGAUUAUUUGACUAGACCGACCCCAUGCACUGAAUGUUCUGGAGUCCUGUGGAUAGGGCUUCACAGUCCGUCAGCAUCUGUUAACUGAACACUGAUUGGAUGCCAGCUCUCUAUCAACAAUACUCCUGAUCAUGAUGCCCUGAGGCCAUUAGACGUUCUGGACAUUGAUCCUCAUUAGCAAGGCCACCUAGUCCAAUUGUGGCAGAAACUGCCUGCCAUCGGACCCGCCUCUGAUUAUGACUCAGUGGCUCUCCACCAGAGCCCCAUGCUGCAGUCACCUGGGGCUGGAGUUAAAAAUACCGAUUCCGGGUCCCACCCACAAAGACUUUGAUAUAGUCUGCCUGGGGAACAGCCUGGCAUCGGGGAGUUUUUAAAUGUCCCCAAACGAUUUGAAUAUGUAGCCAAAGAUGAGAACCACUGGUUUCUGUUGAAAUUCACACUCCUGGCCCCAGGAGACAUUUGUUGCAAACUGGUCCACCAUCAUCUUCACUUGGUGGUUUGCUACCUCUGGGGUCGGGCACGGGGCUGGGUGGAAGAGUCAAUACAGAUGGGAGGAACAUCCGGAUCCCAGGACUCAGCACAUCCUGUGUUUGUCUUUCCAAAUCACCUUCCAUUUUGCUUUUGCUUCCUUGCUCUUCCCUCUUUCAAUAAACUACACUCACUGCCACUAUCAACUGACCUGUUGUCCUCCCUUUACGAUCAAAGUCCAAGCUGCAUAUGAUCUCAUUUAUUCUCAAAAUAGUCCUGCGUGUGAGGAAGGAGCCAGGCUUUUGUUCUCUAAGGCAAAGCUGGGACCUGCAGGUCAAGAAAGGUUCUAUCUGCCAUGGAAUUCAUCUCAUUAUUUGGUUUCAAUGUGUUCAUAGCAAGUUUCAAUUUACAAAGUGCUUUCGCCUAUUUGCUCUUGUGGAAUCCUCACAGCAAGUGCGUGUGGCAGUAUUUUCAUAGCCAGGGUGGCCACAUAUCCUGAUUUGCCCUGAACAAUCCCGGGUUACACCUGCUGCCCCAGUCUAACUAUUGGUGGCACCCCCUUUCACUCUCAAACCAAGUGUCUUGGUUUGGACAAUAAAUUAUAUGGUCACAUUAUUUAUAAUGACUCUCUUGUUCGAAGAGGGGGCUAUUGAGGCUCAUAUGUUCAGAGUCACUCAGUUAAUUAUAGGCAGAGACAAGACCUGGACUCAUGUCCCGUGUCUUCAAACCUCUGCCCCAUCCAUGGGUAUCAUGGAGCACUAGAAUCAGAGCUGAUCUACUCAACACUUUCUUAUAUAGAUGAAGAAACUAAAAAUGGGGGGAAAAGGUGUCUUAAAAGUCACUAUUCAAAUGUUCCCUGGAAGGGCGAGACUUGGAGCCCAGGGCAGAGAUGGGCUAGUAACGUAUCAAUAACUGUCAUGCUGGAUGGCACUUGAGAGCCCAACUUGGCAAAAGAAAGGGCAAGGCCUGACAUACGGGUGUUCGGAAAAGGAAGAGUAAGAAAUUUAGAGUCUAAACUGCUGGAUUUGAGGACUGGAUCUGAACGUCAUCUGCUGUCUCCCUCUGGGCACUUCACACCCCCCUCUAAGCACACACGCUCAAAUGUAAAACAGGACUAGUCAUUCUUACUUCCCUAGGUCACCAGGAGAGCAAACUGCAGCUCACCCAGUGCCCUGACAGCAUCAAGCCUCCCCAGGUCCCUGUGAGUCUCAUUUAUUUGCUUUCUUCAUUUUUCACAUGAGUGAACCAAGGCUCAUGAACAAGGAUGCUGGGGAUCCAAUGACGUAAGGUAUUUGAAGGUGCUCAUAAAUCCUAAAACGCUGCCAUUUAUUAUUAUUAUUAUCACCCGCAGCAGCAGUAGUAACAGAUAACAAUAGGCAAUUGAUGUGGGACAGAAGUGUAUGUCCUUGAAUCUCCCUGGAUGACCGAGGUUUUGAAUGACACGCCCAGUAGACAGGCAGGGUUGGGGAAGCGAGUGUUAAAGAUGACCACAUCACAACUCUCUGGGUGGAGCCCGGCCUGCCUGGGAGGUUUCCUAGUCACCAACCUGCCAGCCCUGCAGAAAGCACCUCACAUGCCUGACACCCUCAGCAAGAAGGCCUUUUUUCUUAUGAAAACCAUACAGCUAAGAGUAACUUCAAACUCUGGAAAUGCCUGGUUCUGUAAUUCAGGACAUCGCUUCCCUGAAAUGAAACCAUUCAAAGCCUGCCCAGCGCUUUAUUUCACAACUAUUUUCAGCCUUUACUUAUCCCUGUAAGUGAUAACUACUAACCAGAUGCUCAAAAAAGGGGGGAAAAAAAUAUCAAAAGAGCUUUCCUAUCUGAUUUUUUGUUCCCCCAUCAGUCUGGAUUUUGCACUCACCGCAAAGGCCUGCCUGGCUCUCACGGGUUGCUUUCCUUUAGGGAAAAAGCAAAUGACAACACAGGCAUUUUAGAACUCUUUGGGGGCACUGGGGCCUGUGCAGUGAGCUUUUUAGAUAAAUGGAGAAAACUUCCAAAGCUGACCGCAUGAAAUUCCAAAGGUGCCAGCAGGACCGCUCUCCAUGCCCAGCACUGGGGCCGAGAGCUCCUUCUUCUCUAAAGAGUCAAUUUGUGUUUCAAAUAUCUUUUAGGAACUUGACUCUGUGAAACUACUUGCUCCCAGGGAAUCUGAGAAAGUCCUAGAAUAGCUUUCUUCACGGAGAGCAGCAAGACUUGCCGCUUUGUUAGAGUUCUCUCUAUUCACUCCCGAGACGGCAGGCCUGGCUGCUGAGAUUCAGGGCACCCCUGGCCCUCGGUCCAGCACUGCCCAGCCUCGGAGGGGAUGUGGCCUUCUUCAUCACCUGGGUGGGCCAGAGGACCUGGAAAUCCUGCCCAGAGGGCUCCCAGCAACCAAAUGAGGACAACAGAAGCCACAUUUUAAGGGUGAGAAACAGGCUGAGGAAAGCUAGUGUCAGUAAAUGACUGGUGUAAUUUCUACAGAUAAUUUUGAAAAACGAAACCCAAAGAAUGCAAAACCCAGCGGAAGAAAUUUAACAAACCUUUGCAGUAGGCUAGGCCAAAUGGGACGGCCCACCUCCCAAGUGUAAAAUAAGUUACAACUAAUUUUAUAUUUUUUAGGCCCAAAAGGUACCAAAGACCAAAAGAUUGAUAUCAAGAUUUAUGUACAUCUAAUACUUUUUUUUUUUUGCAAAAACCUCUCUAUUUGUUUAAGUAACUUGUAGAUAAGAAUCAUUAAGCAAACUAACAUCUUCUCUAUUCCAGGGAAUAUAUAUGCCUCUUAAAUUCAGCCAGAAGGAACCCGGACCAGCGCUGAGGACUCUUUCCUUCUCAGUUACCUGCAUAUUUCUAGGGAAACUGCAUUCUAAGAUUUGUUUCCCCUUUGUGAAAGGUUUUGACGCUCAGGCGGCCUGCCCACUCCCCUCCCCCAACUCCUGGCGACUGUUUCUGCACCGCCCUCCGCCCUGGAAACAACUCUCCUGCCGCCUCAGGUUUCCCCGCUUCUGCGGCGUCGUCGGCACCGAGGACUGAUCAAAUGUUACUUUCUUAUUACACCAGCGAACCGGGAAACGCCGCCGCGGCCUGCAGCCUCCCUCCCACAGGAGAAAGGUUCACGGGCCCAGCCAGGUUCCUGCCAUCUCGCUACACCUGGAGAUGCUCUUGAGGACCGCCAAAAUCGCGCCGGGCCGGGCUCUGGCCCCAUGGUGGUGAUCGCCUGUCCUGCAACGGGUUUGACAAACUGCCGGGCCAACUGUCCAAGAAGACAGCCACCUGCCAGAUUGCACCUGACUCUAUUCGGCCCGGGAGCGCCGAAGCGAGGCUCUCUGGCCUGCAGAAAGGCCACCCAGGGGACCGCGAGGGCUUGCCCGCACUCCCAGGGGAGGUCCAGCAUCCCAGCGCGGUCCGCGCGCGGCACGUGAGCCAGGCGAGCCCGGCUGGAGGCGCAGCAGCGACGUAUGAUAGACAUACGGAAAAAAUGCGCAUGUCCUUAGCGUACAGUUCAACGAACGCUCACAGUCUGAACGCACGCGUGAGAAAGCAACAGCAGAGGAAGAAAUAAAAUGUUAGCUACACCCCGCCCCCCGAAGCUCCUCCUAGUCUCUCCUCUGUACCUGUCCUCCACCUUCACCCCUCUCCCCACCAGGGUAACCAUUAUCCUGACUUGUAGCAGAGCAGGUUGGUUUUGCCUGGAAUCUUACAGUAAAUGCAGUGUGUACUCCUUGAUGCCUGGCUUCUUUUGCUCACCAUUAUAUGUGUGAGAUUCAUCCAUUCUGCUCCGUGUGAUCGUAAAUCAUCCAUUCUUAUUGCCACAAUUUACUUAUCCAUUCUUCUGUUGAUGGACGUUUGCACAGUUCCCGGUUAAUGACUUGCACGGAUACUGCUGCUAUGAACAGGCUAUCAAACAUCCUGUCGUGAGCACAUGGACACUUUUCUGUUGGGUACACACUUAGGAGUGCAAUUGCUAGCUUAUAGAGUAUGAGAAUAUUCUUCUUGAAUAAACACUGCCGGAUGAUUUUCUAAAGCGUUUGUACCAAUUUACAUUCUCAGCCUUCAUUUCUUUUAAAAGUAGGUACUAAGUCUUUCCCAUCUGGAAUCUGGUCAGCUUCUGUUUGUUUUCUUUGCCUUCUCUUUAGUUAAUCUUUUUUGUGCCCUGUCUUACCUUACUUACAAAUAUAUAUUUGCUUCACAGUUUUAUAGGAAAAACAAAAUACAAAUAAGUAAUAGUACUUAUUACAUGCCAGGCAA